rnacentral:rRNA from 1 species
GACGGAGGGGGCUAGCGUUGUUCGGAAUGACUGGGUGUAAAGGGCGCGUAGGCGGUGUUUUAAGUGAGGCGUGAAAGCCCUGGGCUUAACCCAGGAGGUGCGUUUCAUACUGGAAUGCUAGAGUGCGAGAGAGGAAAGUGGAAUUCCUAGUGUAGAGGUGAAAUUCGUAGAUAUUAGGAAGAACACCAGGGGCGAAGGCGGCUUUCUGGCUCGUAACUGACGCUGAGGCGCGAAAGCGUGGGGAGCAAACAGG